rnacentral:rRNA from 1 species
AACGAACGCUGGCGGCAUGCCUAACACAUGCAAGUCGAACGAGACCUUCGGGUCUAGUGGCGCACGGGUGCGUAACGCGUGGGAACCUGCCCUUAGGUUCGGAAUAACUCCCCGAAAGGGGUGCUAAUACCGGAUAAUGUCUUCGGACCAAAGAUUUAUCGCCUUUGGAUGGGCCCGCGUUGGAUUAGCUAGUUGGUAGGGUAAAAGCCUACCAAGGCGACGAUCCAUAGCUGGUCUGAGAGGAUGAUCAGCCACACUGGGACUGAGACACGGCCGAGACUGGUACGGGAAGAAGGAGUGGGGAGUAGUAGAGGAUGAAGCAGAGCGUAAAAAAGCUAGGCGGGGGAAGUUGGGAAGGCGGUAGAGAUGAAAUUCUGUCUGGGACGCAACGAGAAUGACGGUACCGGGAAAAUAAGCGACGGCUAACUACGUG